GUGUCAGCAGCCGCGGUAACACGUAGGAUCCGAGCGUUAUCCGAAUUUACUGGGCGUAAAGCGCGUGCAGGCGGUUCGGUAAGUUGGAUGUGAAAUCUCCUGGCUCAACUGGGAGAGGACGUUCAAUACUGUCGGACUAGAGGAUGGUAGAGGGAGGUGGAAUUCCCGGUGUAGUGGUGAAAUGCGUAGAUAUCGGGAGGAACACCAGUGGCGAAGGCGGCCUCCUGGGCCAUUCCUGACGCUCAGACGCGAAGGCUAGGGUAGCGAACGGGAUUAGAUACCCGAGUAGUCC
rnacentral:rRNA from 1 species